rfam:Schistosoma haematobium scaffold47_41, whole genome shotgun sequence.
ACCUUUCAGUAUUCGUGCCAAGAUUUCGUCAUACAGCAGGCUAUCAGGGAUGAUGAGAUCUCCAAAAUAAGUGAAGUG